rnacentral:rRNA from 1 species
AGGGAUGACGGCCUUCGGGUUGUAAACCUCUUUCAGCAGGGACGAAGCGAAAGUGACGGUACCUGCCACGAAGAACGCAUCGGCCAACUACGUGC